UACGUAGGGGGCAAGCGUUGUCCGGAUUUAUUGGGCGUAAAGAGCGUGUAGGCGGCCAUGCAGGUCCGUUGUGAAAACUGGAGGCUUAACCUCCAGACGUCGAUGGAAACCGUAUGGCUAGAGUCCGGAAGAGGAGAGUGGAAUUCCUGGUGUAGCGGUGAAAUGCGCAGAUAUCAGGAAGAACACCCGUGGCUAAGGCGGCUCUCUAGUACGGUACUGACGCUGAGACGCGAAAGCGUGGGGAGCGAACAGG
rnacentral:rRNA from 1 species